rnacentral:rRNA from 1 species
UUAUGGCUCAGGACGAACGCUGGCGGCGUGCCUAAUACAUGCAAGUCGAACGGUCUUUCUAUGGAAGCUUGCUUCCACUGAGAAGAUAGUGGCGAACGGGUGAGUAACACGUGGGUAACCUGCCCAUAAGAGGGGGAUAACAUCCGGAAACGGGUGCUAAUACCGCAUAGUUUCUUGAUCGCAUGAUCGGGAAAGGAAAGACGGCCUUUGUGCUGUCGCUUAUGGAUGGACCCGCGGCGUAUUAGUUAGUUGGUGAGGUAACGGCUCACCAAGACGAUGAUACGUAGCCGACCUGAGAGGGUGAUCGGCCACAUUGGGACUGAGACACGGCCCAAACUCCUACGGGAGGCAGCAGUAGGGAAUCUUCCGCAAUGGACGAAAGUCUGACGGAGCAACGCCGCGUGAGUGAAGAAAGGUUUUCGGAUCGUAAAACUCUGUUGUCAGAGAAGAACAAGUUGGAGAGUGACUGCUCCAGCCUUGACGGUAUCUGACCAGAAAGCCACGGCUAACUACGUGCCAGCCGCCGC